rnacentral:lncRNA from 1 species
CCAAGCUCUGCAACUGCAAGGAACUUCAUUUUUUAAGCUGUGAAAGCAUAAUUAUUUCUAUCCCGGAAGUAUUACAAAGGCUAAUCCGAAUUUGGAAAAGUGCUGAUAACAGAAGGAGUACAUUGAGGCUUUCCAAAUCGCAAGGAAGAUUAACGUAGCCUGAAGAUGGCACUCCAAAUACCUGGGAUUACCCGUUGAUGCAUCUAUCUACGAUAAGAUUUCCAUUGCCACUCCUAGAGUUGUGUCAUUCAUCACUCCUUCAAGUUAAUUAAUCAACAUAUCGAUAAAGAUUAUCUUACUGCUACCUGACCUCUCUGAGCAGACGUCAAGUCUUGAGCUUUCGCAAGCGCAGAAAGUUCCACCCAUUGCGAAAAUGCUUACCGAAAGCAACAACAGUAGAUAAUUUUCGAAGUUAGGUGAUACUGAAAAAACCUGUCAUCAAAAUAUAGGAUAGCGGAGUACGGUUGCCAUCAAGAGGAUUUGUAUCGCAAUAAAAGAAAUAUGGCACCUAUGAUUUAUGGUAUUGAAGAAUGGUUGGAAAAGAAUAAGACGUAUUUUCAGCCACCAAUUUGUAAUAAGUUAAUAUCAGAAUUGAUACGUGCAAUUGUUCGAUCAGCAGCAAGACACCCCUGUUUGCAACCGUUCAAAUUUUAUCCUAAACUGACCUCUGUUUUAGGCAGUAAAAUAUCAAGCUUUCGAUAAAGUUAUUUUUAAAAAAAAUCGAUUUUCUAAAUUCUGAAUUAAAAUGUUGUUUAUAAAUAUAAAUGUUACUUAAUUGAUAUGUAAAAUGCUAGAAUAAAUUGCCUUUAAAAAGGGUUUUUAUAUUGUCUGUAUUGAUUAUGCUAUUGAAUUUAAAAUACAAAUAAUUUGUUUUCGGUUCGGUGUUUUUCUUUG